GUGGGCUCACGACACUCGUAGCUCACUUUCUCACUUCUCGAACCCUAGGCAGAAACCCUAGGAUACUCUCAGAAAAGCCUGCGCCUCUUCCUAUUUCUUUUCUUUUCUCUUCUUUUUCUUUCUUUAAUCACCCACGAGACUUUUCUCACGCACCCUUUUUCUCUCUCAUCAGAUUAGCGCACGCUCUAUCUUCUCUUCCUUUUAAAAAGAGAGCAAACGCG
rnacentral:lncRNA from 1 species